CCCUGGUAGUCCACGCCGUAAACGAUGUCGACUUGGAGGUUGUGCCCUUGAGGCGUGGCUUCCGGAGCUAACGCGUUAAGUCGACCGCCUGGGGAGUACGGCCGCAAGGUUAAAACUCAAAUGAAUUGACGGGGGCCCGCACAAGCGGUGGAGCAUGUGGUUUAAUUCGAUGCAACGCGAAGAACCUUACCUGGUCUUGACAUCCACGGAAGUUUUCAGAGAUGAGAAGGUGCCUUCGGGAACCGUGAGACAGGUGCUGCAUGGCUGUCGUCAGCUCGUGCCGAAC
rnacentral:rRNA from 1 species